GGACGAACGCUGGCGGCGUGCCUAACACAUGCAAGUCGAACGGACCCAGCCCGGUAGUAAUAUUGGGCGAAGGUUAGUGGCGAACGGGUGAGUAACGCGUGAGCAACCUGCCUUUCAGAGGGGGAUAACAACUGGAAACAGUUGCUAAUACCGCAUAACGUAUUUAGGUGGCAUCAUUUGAAUACCAAAGGUUAAAUCCGCUGAGAGAUGGGCUCACGUCUGAUUAGCUAGAUGGUAGGGUAAGGGCCUACCAUGGCUGCGAUCAGUAGCCGGUCUGAGAGGAUGAACGGCCACAUUGGGACUGAGACACGGCCCAGACUCCUACGGGAGGCAGCAGUGGGGAAUAUUGGGCAAUGGGCGAAAGCCUGACCCAGCAACGCCGCGUGAAGGAAUAAGGCCUUCGGGUUGUAAACUUCUUUUAUUAGGGACGAAGGAUGUGACGGUACCUAAUGAAUAAGCCACGGCUAACUACGUGCCAGCAGCCGCGGUAAUACGUAGGUGGCAAGCGUUGUCCGGAUUUACUGGGUGUAAAGGGCGCGUAGGCGGGAAUGCAAGUCAGAUGUGAAAUCCAUGGGCUCAACCCAUGAACUGCAUUUGAAACUGUGUUUCUUGAGUGAUGGAGAGGCAGGCGGAAUUCCUAGUGUAGCGGUGAAAUGCGUAGAUAUUAGGAGGAACACCAGUGGCGAAGGCGGCCUGCUGGACAUCAACUGACGCUGAUGCGCGAAAGCGCGGGGAGCAAACAGGAUUGGAUACCCUGGUAGUCCGCGCCGUAAACGAUGAAUACUAGGUGUGGGGGGACUGACCCCUUCCGUGCCGGAGCAAACGCAAUAAGUAUUCCACCUGGGGACUACGGUCGCAAGACUA
rnacentral:rRNA from 1 species